ACGAGCGCUGGCGGCAUGCCUAACACAUGCAAGUCGAACGAGACCUUCGGGUCUAGUGGCGCACGGGUGCGUAACGCGUGGGAAUCUGCCCCUGGGUUCGGAAUAACAGUGAGAAAUUACUGCUAAUACCGGAUGAUGACGUAAGUCCCAAGAUUUAUCUCCCAAGGAUGAGCCCGCGUAAGAUUAGCUAGUUGGUGGGGUAAAGGCCUACCAAGGCUACGAUCUUUAGCUGGUCUGAGAGGAUGAUCAGCCACACUGGGACUGAGACACGGCCCAGACUCCUACGGGAGGCAGCAGUGGGGAAUAUUGGACAAUGGGCGAAAGCCUGAUCCAGCAAUGCCGCGUGAGUGAUGAAGGCCUUAGGGUUGUAAAGCUCUUUUACCAGGGAUGAUAAUGACAGUACCUGGAGAAUAAGCUCCGGCUAACUCCGU
rnacentral:rRNA from 1 species